UUGGGAGCAUCACUACAUUUUUGAGCCUCGGCCCACAAGCUUCCUGAGACUGCUCUAGAUAUUUUUAACCAAUGCAAAGGCUUCAGUUUCUUUGAUGACUGACUUCUUGAAUUCAUGGUACGAGACAAUGGUCCUCGUCCCUUUAGGCCAGGUGGAGGAGCAGAAGGUGGGGGUGGAGAUGGAGAAGUAGGGAGAUUACUACCUUUGGAUGCUGACUGUAUCAUACCAGCACCUGCUUUUAGAUCAGGCUUAAGAGAAGGGACUGGAGGAGGGGGAGCAGAAGGGACACUUUGUCGAGAACCCAAUACAGGAGGAGGAGGUGGUGGUGGCAUUGCAGAUACAUUCGCAGGCUUAGAAGAUUGAGCAGCAGGCAAAGGAGGGGGUGGAGGUGGAGAGGGUCCACCAUUGAACGAGGAGUUCUCCUUCAUAGAUCGCACAGGAGGAGGUGGAGGCAGGGGUGGUGGCACCCUGGUUGGGGGAACAACUUUUUCCUUCAAAGGUGGAGUAGGUGGAGGUGGAGGUGGAGGUGGAGGUCGAGGCGGUUCACAAAUAGAGGCAGAAUUUGUGUUCAAUAUUUGGGUUGUAGUUAACUGGCAUGGAGGUGGAGGAGGAGGUGGUGGUUGUGGCGGUGACUUAUCUCUAAAAGCUGAACUUCCCUUCGAAGUUGGGACUGGUUCAAGUGGUUCACUAGUACAGACAGAAUUCUUGCUCAAUACUGGGGGUGUAAAUAAUGGGCAUGAGUCUCGAGGAGGUGGAGGUGGAGGCGGAGGUGGUGGAGGUGAUGGCACCCCUCUGAAAACUGAAUGUUCCUUCAAAGGUGGAGUGGGAGGAACAGGUGGCUGAGGUGAUCCACCAACAGAAGCAACAUUCUCGUUCAAUAGAGGGAUUGGAUGUUGUGACGGUGACGGUGGCAAUGGCGGUGGCGGCGGUGAAAAAUUACUACUCUGGACGAACUGUUGUUCUAAAGGUUUGAUAAAGGGAAUGGCAGCUGAUGGAGAAGAGGAAUUAGGAGGAGCUAGGGAUGGAGGACAACUUUUAGAAGGAUGAAGAGGUCGAGUAGGUUCCUUUUCAGCAGCUUCAUCACCUGGCUGCUGCGCUGUCCGAGGAGGUGAAGUAGAUUCCCCUUCAUAAGCUGGCUGCUGCACUGUCAGAGGAAGCAGAGGUGCAUCAGAUUGGGACAUAGUAGGUCUAUCAUCCUUCAAGGAAACAAUUGGAGAACAUUGUGUUCUGGGUGGAGUAGCCUGAGAUGCAGAAGGUACAGUUCCAGUGACUAGUUUAUCCUUCACGGGAGGAGUCUGUGGUGAUGGUGCCAAGGGGGAAGGAGACAGAGACAACCCAGUAAGAUGAGGAGGUGAAGCAGGUUCUCCUUUAUGAUCUGGCUUCUGUGCUGCUAGAGGAAGCAGAUAUGUAUCAGGUUGAGACGAAGUAGGUUUUUCAUCCUUCAAGGAUACAAUUGGAGGACCUUGGGUUCUGGGUGGAGUAGCCGGAGAUGCAUAAGGUACAGUUCCAGUGACUAAUUUAUCCUUCAUGGGAGGAGUGAGCGGUGCUGGUGUCACUGGAGUAGGAGAUAGAACUAGUCCAAUACCAAUACCCUGAUCCUUCCCAGGUAUGGAUGAGGAUGAAGGUGAAGUUGGAAUGCUGGUCUUGAAGGGUGGAGUCCUGGUCUCAGGUAGGGAAGGAAGGUCAUUCAGCUUAUCACAUUCUUGUACAUGAGGAUCCAACUUCUUUAUAAGUGGAGGAUGUUCCGACGUUGGAAGACCGUACAGGGACUGUUGUGAUGACACAGAAGACACACUAGGUUCUGUACUAAGGUCAGCAGGAGAAGGUUUUGAAAGAGGAAUUGACGGCUGCAGUUUUGACACCUUCAUCUCACUUUUGGUCCCAAUAAAUUGAGCUUCAACUUUCUGUUGGUCACUUUGUUGUACUUUGGAGGAUGAUUUUAUGGAUGACAUAGACUGCUGCUCCAAUGUAAAUGGUGAUGAGCCCUUUGCAUCAUUGUCCACUGGUGCAGGUCCCUUCCUCUCUCCAGGAGUCUCCAAAUUUGCUUGAUCGAGGAGCAUGCUAGUGUCUGUAGACAGGGGAGGAACGGAUUCCAAAUUUUCCUGAAUUAAACCUGACGUGGUUAUUUGUUGGAGCACAUUACAAGCAGCACCAGCCUUUGGACUUAUCCAAUCCACAGAGCUAAAGAUUUCCUGAACUUUGGCAAAUGCCUCCACUGGUAGGCCAUCUUUCUCCUCAAAACAGGACAAAUCUACAGGAAGAACAGAAGCAGCAGUGUCCAUCUCUGAGAAAAGAACCUUCAUCCAG
rnacentral:lncRNA from 1 species